rnacentral:rRNA from 1 species
UCCAGACUCCUACGGGAGGCAGCAGUGGGGAAUAUUGCACAAUGGGGGGAACCCUGAUGCAGCGACGCCGCGUGGGUGAAGAAGUCAUUCGUGACGUAAAGCCCUAUCAGCAGGGAAGAAAAUGACGGUACCUGACUAAGAAGCCCCGGCUAACUACGUGCCAGCAGCCGCGGUAAUACGUAGGGGGCGAGCGUUAUCCGGAUUCACUGGGCGUAAAGGGAGCGCAGGCGGCACGGCAAGUCCGGUGUGAAAGCCCGGGGCCCAACCCCGGGACUGCACUGGAAACUGCCGGGCUGGAGUGUCGGAGGGGCAGGCGGAAUUCCUAGUGUAGCGGUGAAAUGCGUAGAUAUUAGGAGGAACACCGGUGGCGAAGGCGGCCUGCUGGACGACGACUGACGCUGAGGCUCGAAAGCGUGGGGAGCAAACAGGAUUAGAUACCCCUGUA